UUCGAGCGUCAUUUCAACCCUCAAGCACAGCUUGGUCUUGGGCCCUGCCGGCAACGGCUGGCCUUAAAACUAGUGGCGGCGCCUCGAGCUCUACGCGUAGUAAUAAACCCCUCGCGUGUGAGCCUCGGCGGCUGCUGGCCAGCAACCCCCAAUUUUCUAUGGUUGACCUCGGAUCAGGUAGGGAUACCCGCUGAACUUAA
rnacentral:misc_RNA from 1 species